rnacentral:rRNA from 1 species
AUUGAACGCUGGCGGCAUGCCUUACACAUGCAAGUCGAACGGUAGAGGGGGCAACCCCUCGAGAGUGGCGAACGGGUGAGUAAAGCAUCGGAACGUGCCCAGUAGUGGGGGAUAGCCCGGCGAAAGCCGGAUUAAUACCGCAUGAGACCUACGGGUGAAAGGGGGGGAUCGCAAGACCUCUCGCUAUUGGAGCGGCCGAUGUCAGAUUAGGUAGUUGGUGGGGUAAAGGCCUACCAAGCCGACGAUCUGUAGCUGGUCUGAGAGGACGACCAGCCACACUGGGACUGAGACACGGCCCAGACUCCUACGGGAGGCAGCAGUGGGGAAUUUUGGACAAUGGGCGCAAGCCUGAUCCAGCCAUGCCGCGUGCGGGAAGAAGGCCUUCGGGUUGUAAACCGCUUUUGUCAGGGAAGAAAUCCUUUGAGCUAAUACCUCGGGGGAUGACGGUACCUGAAGAAUAAGCACCGGCUAACUCUGUGCCAGCCGCCGCCGUAAGAC